ACAUCCAAGGAAGGCAGCAGGCGCGUAAAUUACCCAAUCCUAAUACAGGGAGGUAGUGACAAUAAAUAACAAUGCCGGGCCUUUGUAGGUCUGGCAAUUGGAAUGAGAACAAUUUAAACCCCUUAUCGAGGAUCAAUUGGAGGGCAAGUCUGGUGCCAGCAGCCGCGGUAAUUCCAGCUCCAAUAGCGUAUAUUAAAGUUGUUGCAGUUAAAAAGCUCGUAGUUGGAUUUGUGGCUGUCGUGGGCGGCCUAGCACUCAGUGCCAGCGCUCUGCCUGCGUCGCCAUCCUUGGGUGGAACCUGUGUGGCAUUAGGUUGUCGUGCAGGGGAUGCCCAUCUUUUACUGUGAAAAAAUUAGAGUGUUCAAAGCAGGCUUAUGCCGUUGAAUAUAUUAGCAUGGAAUAAUGAGAUAGGACCUUGGUACUAUUUUGUUGGUUUGCGCCCGAGGUAAUGAUUAAUAGGGACAGUUGGGGGUAUUCGUAUUCCAUUGUCAGAGGUGAAAUUCUUGGAUUUUUGGAAGACGAACUACUGCGAAAGCAUUUACCAAGGAUGUUUUCAUUAAUCAAGAACGAAAGUUAGGGGAUCGAAGAUGAUUAGAUACCAUCGUAGUCUUAACCAUAAACUAUGCCGA
rnacentral:rRNA from 1 species